GCCUAUAUAGCUUAGUGGUAGAGCGUUCCCUUCGUAAGGGAAAGGUCUUGAGUUCAAUCCUCAAUGUGGGCA
rfam:Volvox carteri f. nagariensis unplaced genomic scaffold VOLCAscaffold_148, whole genome shotgun sequence.